GACGAACGCUGGCGGCGUGCUUAACACAUGCAAGUCGAGCGGUAAGGCCCUUUCGGGGGUACGACGAGCGGCGAACGGGUAGGAGUAACAACGUGGGUGGACCUCGCCCUCCAGCUCCUGGGAGUAAGCCUCGGGAAACCGGGGUACCGUAAUAACCGGAGUAUGACUCCAUGACGCAUGUUGUGGGGUGGAAAGACCUUGUGCGGCUGAGGAGUGGGCCCGGCCGGCCU
rnacentral:rRNA from 1 species